GGGGAAUAUUGGGCAAUGGGGGAAACCCUGACCCAGCGACGUCGCGUGAGGGAAGAAGGUCUUCGGAUUGUAAACCUUUGUCAACAGGGAAGAAGCAAGUGACGGUAACUCAUGAAUAAGCACCGGCUAACUACGUGCCAGCAGCCGCGGUCAUACGUAGGGUGCAAGCAUUAUCCGGAGUGACUGGGCGUAAAGAGUUGCGUAGGCGGUUAGUAAAGCGAAUAGUGAAACCUGGUGGCUCAACCAUACAGACUAUUAUUCGAACUCACUAACUCGAGAAUGGUAGAGGUAACUGGAAUUUCUAGUGUAGGAGUGAAAUCCGUAGAUAUUAGAAGGAACACCAAUGGCGUAGGCAGGUUACUGGACCAUUUCUGACGCUAAGGCACGAAAGCGUGGGGAGCGAACA
rnacentral:rRNA from 1 species